GAUGAACGCUGGCGGCGUGCCUAACACAUGCAAGUCGAGCGAACAGACGAGGAGCUUGCUCCUCUGACGUGAGCGGCGGACGGGUGAGUAACACGUGGAUAACCUCCCUAUCAGACUGGUAUAACUUCGGGACACCGGAGCUAAUACCGUAUAAUAUAUUGAACCGCAUGGUUCAAUGGUGAAAGACGGUUUUGCUGUCUCUUAUAGAUGGAUCCGCGCCGCAUUAGCUAGUUGGUACGGUAACGGCUUACCACGGCGACGAUGCGUAGCCGACGUGAGAGAGUGAUAGGCGACACGAGAGGGUAGCCAGGGUCAAGGGGACUGAGAGAGGCAGCAGAAGGGAAUGGGAGGCAGUAGGCGAAAGUCUUACGGAGUAGGGGGGCGUGUGAGAUGGAGGUCUUCGGAUCGUAAUACCGUGUUAUGAGGGAAGAACAAAUGUGUAAUGAAAUAUGCACGGCGUGACGGUACCUAAUCAGAAAGCAACGGCUAACUACGUG
rnacentral:rRNA from 1 species